AGUCACGCUCUCGUAUGAGUCAGUCCCAUCAGGAAAACGGAAGUCACACUGGCUGUUUUAAGAGAGAAAUCUUAAUGUAAGGAAUUGGCUCAACAGUAUUGGACAAGUGGAAAAGCAAACAGUGAGAUAUCAGAGGUAUGACUGCAGGAAACAGAUACCAUCCCUCGGGAUGGGGGGACAGAGGGAGAAGCUGAGAUUAUUAGAAUCUAGAAACUGGAACCCCGACCCUUGACGAGGGCACGCCUGUGGCUGGUGUUGAUGCAUCCGCAGGGAGGCCGGUUCUGGGGAUGUGAGAAACAGUUGGAAACUGGAACCAGUUGCCACUGCCGGGGCGAAGAGCUAUUGUGAGGUGACGUUGCCACAAAGGAAGGGCCAGCAGGAAGCCUCAAGUCCUUUUCCGGGGGCCAUCUUGUGCUCUCUAGCGCCCCCUAUGGACAGAGCCUGCCGUGGAAACAGCUGGAGAAACAAGUGUCACAAGACAGAACAGAGAGAAGUGAGUCACUGAGUCCAGUCCUGGAGGAAGAAAAUUAAGCUCCACUUCCCGGAGGGAGAAGUAUCAGAGAAUCCGUGGACAUCUGUUCAAACCACUAUGCUUCUGGAAGACUUGGGUGUGGCUGCUGUGGGGCCAGAACAAGGACCCAGCGGGUGCAGCUCAGUGCUCUGAGCUCCCACCCUGCUGUCCAGGUCCCCUCGCCAGCACGCCUGGCUACUCCCCAGACAGCAGGACGAACAAGCCUCCAUUGAUUCUGCAUCAUGGCUAGAAGAAUGCCCCUUUGUUGAACACUUCCCCCUCCUCCUGUGUGUCUUUGCCCACAGGAGAGGCAUUCAGGUCCUGCUCGCACGCCUGCUGCUCCGUGGAUCCCCACCAGAACGGGAAGCUUGUCAAAAGGAGGAAGCAUGGGCUGUUCCUCUCUGUACCCCUGUGCCCAACCCGGAGCUUGGCCUUGAAGCGACACUUCAGAGUCUCAAGGAACAAAUGAACUGGCUUCUGUCGGUGGCUCUACCACCUCCCAAUCACCCAGGCCUGAAACCUGACCAGCCCAAUGCCUGGCUGGUCACAAGCUCUGCUGAUUCUCCCUGAAAAGCCACCCCGACUUCUCAGUCUGGGCUUCACAGCCCUCCCCAGGCUGGCACCAACCUAGCCAACUGCGUCCCGGGGGUCCCCUCCUUCUGCCGGCCUGGACUCUCCACUGCUCACUCAUCCACCCACCUCCACGCUAUUUACUGAGCCCAUACUGAGCCCUGCCAUUGCUCCAGGGGCUGGGGAUGCAGGGGACAGGCAGACUGAGUCCUCUCCCUCAAGGCUCACACAGUCUCUUGGGGGUAGACGGACAAUAAAUCGGUGUGCAAAUGACAGAAUAA